UAGGGAAUCUUCCACAAUGGACGCACGUCUGAUGGAGCAACGCCGCGUGAGUGAAGAAGGUUUUCGGAUCGUAAAGCUCUGUUGUUGGUGAAGAAGGAUAGAGGCAGUAACUGGUCUUUAUUUGACGGUAAUCAACAAGAAAGUCACGGCUAACUACGUGCCAGCAGCCUCGGUAAUACGUAGGUGGCAAGCGUUGUCCGGAUUUAUUGGGCGUAAAGCGAGCGCAGGCGGGAUGAUAAGUCUGAUGUGAAAGCCCACGGCUCAACGGGUGAACUGCAUCGGAAACUGUCAUUCUUGAGUGCAGAAGAGGAGAGUGGAAUUCCAUGUGUAGCGGUGGAAUGCGUAGAUAUAUGGACGAACACCAGUUGCGAAGGCGGCUCUCUGGUCUGCAACUGACGCUGAGGCUCGAAAGCAUGGGUAGCGAACAGG
rnacentral:rRNA from 1 species